UCCCUUAGUACCUGACAAUUCUUGCUGUUUCGGUAUAAAUACUCUUGGCAAGCCUCGCAAAGGCAUCAUAUCUACCUUGAUCGUCGACGUGAACGAACAUACGCACUCCCCGACAAACAUGUUCAAGCCCCUAUGUCAUUAUUGGCCAAGCGAAGGGUACAAAAUGUGCAUUUUGCAGCAAACACGUAUACAGAUGAAAAAUUAUAAAUGGUUCGAUUGAAGAUUCAGGAAGAUUCAAAUUCAACUACCGAAGUCAAUUGGUUUUGAGUGGGAAAAUAAAAAUUUCUUAUUUUGUCUUGUA